AGUGGCGGACGGGUGAGUAACGCGUGGGUAACCUGCCCCAUACAGGGGGAUAACAGCCGGAAACGGCUGCUAAUACCGCAUGUACAUGCGGGGGCGCAUGCCCCUGGAUGGAAAGCAUUAGCGGUAUGGGAUGGGCCCGCGUCUGAUUAGGCAGUUGGCGGGGUAACGGCCCACCAAACCGACGAUCAGUAGCCGGCCUGAGAGGGCGACCGGCCACAUUGGGACUGAGACACGGCCCAAACUCCUACGGGAGGCAGCAG
rnacentral:rRNA from 1 species